UACGAAGGGUGCAAGCGUUAAUCGGAUUUAUUGGGCGUAAAGGGCGUGUAGGCGGAAAAGUAAGUCAAAUGUGAAAUCCCAAGGCUUAACCUUGGAACUGCAUUUGAAACUGCUUUUCUAGAGGGUAGACGGAGAAAGUGGAAUUCCACAUGUAGCGGUAAAAUGCGUAGAUAUGUGGAAGAAUACCGGUGGCGAAGGCGACUUUCUAGUUUAUUCCUGACGCUGAGGCGCGAAAGCAAGGGGAGCAAACAGG
rnacentral:misc_RNA from 1 species